rnacentral:rRNA from 1 species
GGCGAACGCUGGCACGUGCCUAAUACAUGCAAGUCGAGCGGACGGAUGGGAGCUUGCUCCCAGACCGUCAGCGGCGGACGGGUGAGUAACACGUGGGCAACCUGCCUGUAAGACUGGGAUAACUCCGGGAAACCGGGGCUAAUACCGGAUAACUCUUUCCCUCACAUGAGGGAAAGCUGAAAGAUGGCAUCUCGCUAUCACUUACAGAUGGGCCCGCGGCGCAUUAGCUAGUUGGUGAGGUAACGGCUCACCAAGGCGACGAUGCGUAGCCGACCUGAGAGGGUGAUCGGCCACACUGGGACUGAGACACGGCCCAGACUCCUACGGGAGGCAGCAGUAGGGAAUCUUCCGCAAUGGACGAAAGUCUGACGGAGCAACGCCGCGUGAGUGAUGAAGGUUUUCGGAUCGUAAAACUCUGUUGUCAGGGAAGAACAAGUACCGGAGUAACUGCCGGUACCUUGACGGUACCUGACCAGAAAGCCACGGCUAACUACGUG